rnacentral:rRNA from 1 species
AAUGAACGCUGGCGGCGCGCCUAAUACAUGCAAGUCGAGCGAGAAGACGUAGCAAUACGUUUGUAAAGCGGCGAACGGGUGAGGAAUACAUGGGUAACCUACCCUCGAGUGGGGAAUAACUAGCCGAAAGGUUAGCUAAUACCGCGUACGCUUCUUGGACUUCGGUUCAGGGAGGAAAGCGAUGCCGAGGGUAUCGCGCUCUUGGAUGGGCUCAUGUCCUAUCAGCNGUUGGUGAGGUAACGGCUCACCAAGGCUUCGACGGGUAGCUGGUCUGAGAGGACGAUCAGCCACACUGGCACUGCGACACGGGCCAGACUCCUACGGGAGGCAGCAGUGGGAAUAUUGGACAAUGGGCGCAAGCCUGAUCCAGCGAUGCCGCGUGUGUGAAGAAGGCCUGCGGGUUGUAAAGCACUUUCAGUAGGGAAGAAAGCCGAGUGCUAAUAUCACUCGGUCUUGACGUUACUUACAGAAGAAGCACCGGCUAAC